rnacentral:rRNA from 1 species
UACAGAGGGUGCAAACGUUGCUCGGAUUUACUGGGCGUAAAGCGCGUGUAGGCGGGCAUGAAAGUCGGACGUGAAAUCCCUGGGCUCAACCCAGGAACUGCGUUCGAAACUCCAUGCCUAGAGUAGUGGAGAGGAAAGUAGAAUUCCCGGUGUAGAGGUGAAAUUCGUAGAUAUCGGGAGGAAUACCAGUGGCGAAGGCG